CCUACGGGCGGCAGCAGUAGGGAAUCUUCCACAAUGGGCGAAAGCCUGAUGGAGCAACGCCGCGUGGGUGAAGAAGGUCUUCGGAUUGUAAACCCCUGUCAUGUGGGAGCAAAUCAAAAAGAUAGUACCACAAGAGGAAGAGACGGCUAACUCUGUGCCAGCAGCCGCGGUAAUACAGAGGUCUCAAGCGUUGUUCGGAAUCACUGGGCGUAAAGCGUGCGUAGGCUGUUUCGUAAGUCGUGUGUGAAAGGCGCGGGCUCAACCCGCGGACGGCACAUGAUACUUCGAGACUAGAGUAAAGGAGGGGGAACCGGAAUUCUCGGUGUAGCAGUGAAAUGCGUAGAUAUCGAGAGGAACACUAGUGGCGAAGGCGGGUUCCUGGACAUUAACUGACGCUGAGGCACGAAGGCCAGGGGAGCGAAAGGGAUUAGAUACCCUGGUAGUC
rnacentral:rRNA from 1 species